rnacentral:rRNA from 1 species
GAUGAACGCUGACAGAAUGCUUAACACAUGCAAGUCGAUUCGAUUUACCUUCGGGUAUUGAGGAUGGCGGACGGGUGAGUAACGCGUAAGGAACUUGCCUCUUGGUCUGGGACAACUGUUGGAAACGACAGCUAAUACCGGAUAUUAUGAGAUUCUCGCAUGGGAAACUUAUGAAAGCUAUAUGCGCCAAGAGAGAGCCUUGCGUUCCAUUAGCUAGUUGGUGGGGUAACGGCCCACCAAGGCGACGAUGGAUAGCCGGCCUGAGAGGGUGAACGGCCACAAGGGGACUGAGACACGGCCCUUACUCCUACGGGAGGCAGCAGUGGGGAAUAUUGGACAAUGGGCCACAAGCCUGAUCCAGCAAUUCUGUGUGCACGAUGAAGGUCUUCGGAUUGUAAAGUGCUUUCAGUUGGGAAGAAGAAAGUGACGGUACCAACAGAAGAAGCGACGGCUAAAUACGUGCCAGCAGCCGCGGUAAUACGUAUGUCGCAAGCGUUAUCCGGAUUUAUUGNGCGUAAAGCGCGUCUAGGCGGAAAAAUAAGUCUGAUGUUAAAAUGCGGGGCUCAACUCCGUAUUGCGUUGGAAACUGUUUUUCUAGAGUACUGGAGAGGUGGGCGGAACUACAAGUGUAGAGGUGAAAUUCGUAGAUAUUUGUAGGAAUGCCGAUGGAGAAGUCAGCUCACUGGACAGAUACUGACGCUAAAGCGCGAAAGCGUGGGGAGCNAACAGGAUUAGAUACCCUGGUAGUCCACGCCGUAAACGAUGAUCACUAGGU